rnacentral:rRNA from 1 species
GAUGAACGCUGGCGGCGUGCCUAAUACAUGCAAGUCGAACGAAUGGAUUAAGAGCUUGCUCUUAUGAAGUUAGCGGCGGACGGGUGAGUAACACGUGGGUAACCUGCCCAUAAGACUGGGAUAACUCCGGGAAACCGGGCUAAUACCGGAUAACAUUUUGAACCGCAUGGUUCGAAAUUGAAAGGCGGCUUCGGCUGUCACUUAUGGAUGGACCCGCGUCGCAUUAGCUAGUUGGUGAGGUAACGGCUCACCAAGGCAACGAUGCGUAGCCGACCUGGAAGGGUGAUCGGCCACACUGGGACUGAGACACGGCCCAGACUCCUACGGGAGGCAGCAGUAGGGAAUCUUCCGCAAUGGACGAAAGUCUGACGGAGCAACGCCGCGUGAGUGAGGAAGGCUUUUGGGUCGUAAAACUCUGUUGUUAGGGAAGAACAAGUGCUAGUUGAAUAAGCUGGCACCUUGACGGUACCUAACCAGAAAGCCACGGCUAACUACGUGCCAGCCGCCGCGGUAA